rnacentral:lncRNA from 1 species
UUUCAGUGCUUGUUUGCUUUUUGUGCAUGAAUUUGUCUUGCAUAUUUAAGUUCUGGUGAAUUUUCUUUGUAAUGAUGUUUUCCUCAUGAUUCUGGUGGGCUUCGGUGACUAACUGGGUUGCACCAGGAUUUUGAAUAUUUGGUGGUCCUUCAUUUGGGAGUAUUCUGGGUUGUGCAACGUUCUUGUCUUCUUUGGUAUAUUUUUUUACUCCUCUUUCUUUCUCUCUCUUUCUAAUAUGGUCUUUUGUUCUUUUCACAUUCGUUCCUCUAACACUUUUUUUAUAUGAGAUUUUCUCUUUGUUGGUUUUGGUUUCCUAGUUAUUGUUGAUGAUGUUGAU